rnacentral:rRNA from 1 species
CAGCAGCCGCGGGAAUACGGAGGGCGCGAGCGUUACCCGGAUUUACUGGGCGUAAAGGGCGUGUAGGCGGCCUGGGCGUCCCAUGUGAAAGGCCACGGCUCAACCGUGGAGGAGCGUGGGAUACGCUCAGGCUAGAGGGUGGGAGAGGGUGGUGGAAUUCCCGGAGUAGCGGUGAAAUGCGCAGAUACCGGGAGGAACGCCGAUGGCGAAGGCAGCCACCUGGUCCACUUCUGACGCUGAGGCGCGAAAGCGUGGGGAGCAAACCGGAUUAGAUACCCGCGUAGUCCCUGUCUCUUAUACA